UCUUAACUUCCUUGUUACGCAAAGUCGCACAUGUUAGGAAGGGUAACAAAGAACGAGUGUAGAAGGUAAAAGCGGUAUGCACGAGCCCAAGCGACAAAUAAAGACGAUGGAGUUCGACGUAGAGAAGAACGACUACAGCGUGCCCGAGUUCUACGAGCACUUUGGCAAGGGGCUGCCUCAAGUGAUCAUGAUCAGUCAUGGAUUCUUUGCAGUCAUCGUAGAAGACACGUUCGAUAUUCGAUGAUUCAUGUAUAAGAAACUAUGUGGUUUAAGCAAACACAUCUAAUACUUUCUGUUUAUUUCAUCCAGGCGUCAUGGGACCAGACGUGGUGAACGUGCCCCUGUACCUGUCUCAACUUCGCAUUGCGCGCAUGAUUGGCCUAAAGAACACGCCUACCCAGAUAUGGCGCGGUUAUCUUGAGGAAUUGGAGCGCUUCAGUUCCUAUCUGAAAUACGACAAAGAGUACGGAAAUCAAGAUUCUUGACGAAAAUUGACGUCAUGAAGAGAGACAAACUUCUAAAGGGCACCGGAUUAUACAACAAUGAGGAUUUAACAAAACAAAACGCGGAAGUGCUAGCAUCUCUGCGCCUCAAAGAGCCGGGCCGUGUUGAAAAGUCUUGGUCGUUCGAGAGCAAGCUGUUCGUGAGGUAUAGGGGCAGUGAGCGUAAUGAACAGAUACAUUUUAAUCAAUACCAGGGCUGGCUGAGCAAACCGUAACCAAUCAAAGAACCGACCACAUACGACCAGAAAUUAUCGCCUACUGGUGCAAGCAGCCGACCACCAAAACAUAAGUAAUAUGAACUACGUGAAACGUUUGACAACUUGUAUGUGUUUUCCCCAUAAAGCGGCAGCAGUUUUGUAAGCAUUCAUGAACCAUAUCGUAGUGAAACUCGCAUUUAUUAAUGAAUGAAAACUUUGUACACUUAAUUAGUAAUAGCUAAAUUUAAAAGAUUGACGAUUGAAGUUAUUUAUGUGAAUAUUUCUUUUUUACGACCAUUAUAUUUAGUAUAGACUGCGCAUUGUGAAAGUCUUCUGAUUACAUAUGUGUCCUUAUUAUUUUUCCAUAUACCUUAAUUGUUGUGCAGUUUUUUGAACAUACCUUUGCUUACAAUUACGUAUUUACCUUCCGGCUCCUUCCUUCUAUUCAUUCUACUCUUUUGUAUAUUCAUUUUUCUUCUAACGUAUUUAUAUUUGAUACGUAGUUGCUUAAUAAUCAACCUGGCAGUGUGCUUAUCUCCCUUACAAAUCACCUACCCACACAAAUGUUUUGCUGCGUACGUCCGCUCGUGACUUAGUUCGCGCUUCUGCCCCACAUGCAUGCAUUAUAAUACAAAUAUUGUGUGAAUUUUGUUUUUUGAUUCUAAUCGUUAUCCUACACUAGGCUGUUGCUAUUUACCACGUAAGCAUAUGGGUUUGUUUAUUACAAAAUAUUACAGUAUAUAUAAAUAAUAUCUUUUUGCCUCGGUAAUUCAGUACUGAUAAAAAAGUAUAAUAACAAAAAGGCCUAGUAAUAAUGCUCACCAAUAUAAAUCGUUCACUAUUCUUAUUGUAAGAACCUAUUAAUGUACCGUUACGACGAAGGCAUUAAUUUGUGAACUGUAAGCGAUGGUAAUCAAUGUAUGCUUUCCUCGCGAAUGACUGUUAUGGCCACAUAAAAAUCGUGCAUCACGUGCACUAAAAAACAAUGAAUAGAACAGUGAUGGUGCAACAAGCAAAAUACAAGUGGAGUUCAAGGAUGCCGGAAAAAUGCUUUAGAGCUGUACAAAACAAUUGUUAGUGUGUACCUCUUUUUUUAGUAUUUUCAUAGAGGUUAGUCUGCUUGAUCGAAUAAUCAAAAGUGUCAAAUUGAUUACAGUGGUGUGUCUUUAUACUGUGUACUGGCAUUUAAAUGACAUGUGCAAGUAUUGUUGUACUGUUUUGAUGAGGUUUUUUUCUGUCUCACUUUACAUAUAGUUUAUAGAACAUGAAUAAUGUUAUUUUAUUGUUGCAUUAAAGAUACAUCUGCCACUAAUCUUAAUCAAUUAACUGUCAUAAAUACCGUAACGCUAAAGCAAUCAAUUCGUGAAUUACAGGCAAUUAUAAUAAUCAUAUCUUAAUAGGUAUUAGGUUAUCGCCAACGAAAACUCGUGCAAAACGUGCACAAAUAAAAAAGAAUGCGAAUAAAGAUGAUCAUUUAUGCGUAAAUUGUUGAAUGCCAAUCAAGCUCACGUGCACCGGGUCAAUGAUAUUAAGCUAUACAUAACAAGUUUCAUUGAGAGCUGUGUUUGCUUUGUGUUUUUUCUGUUUGUUCUUUUUCCAUUUGUCAUAUUGUUUAGGUUGUUAUAUUGUUCGCAACAUAUUACUGUCAUAUACAAGACAACGAUUAUUUGUUGUAUUGUUUUGGGGUGACCUUUUCUGUCUCACUGUACAUACAUUUUCUUGUACAUGUAAACUGUUGUUUUAUUUUGCAAUGAAAUUUAUUGUUGGAUCCGAUUGUAUUUUUAUUCCUAUAGCUCUCUCAUAUCCAAUUUUGUACUAUUUAUCUUUUUUCUUCACCUGUUUUUGUUUAUUGUUUUUUUUCUCAUGUAUGUGAUUAUUUCUGUAAACCUCUGCAUUUCAAUGGAAUAUUCAUCUUUUUGUUUCCUUAUUUUCUAUUUGUGUUUGUAUGUAUGGUCAUCGUACGUCUUAUAAUAGAAACCAACUGGACAUAUUUUAAAAUAGAAACUAAAUGGACAACCACACACACACACUAUCAAUUACAUCACCCUACUCCUCUUUAAGUGAUUAAGUUAUGUGCUUUGAAUGUAAAAGGGCUAAACAAUAAAGAAAAACGCAUACAAAUCUUCAAAUGGUUAGACGAAAAAAAAAGUAUAUGCCUAUUACAAGAAAGUCACUUGACACAAACUUUAGCACAAACCUUAAAAGAUGAAUGGGACGGGGACAUCUAUCUCAGUGGACAACAUACUAAUAAACAGGGCAUUGCCUUUCUGAUAAAUAAUAAUAUAGGGAUCACAGUCGAAAACUUUAAAGAUUAUAAUAAUUGGCAGACAAGCAAGUAUAGAUAUAAAAAAACACGAAACACAAUUAACAUUAAUCAACGUUUACGGACCUAACAUAGAUGAUUCCACAUUUUACGAACAUUACAAUCGUUUGUAAUUAAUAACCAAGAUAAAACAUUAUAAUCGGUGGUGAUUUCAAUACUGUUCUUAACACAUUAUUUGAUAAAAAGAAGGGAAACCUUGAUGCUCAUUAUAAAAAUAGAAACAUUUUGAAUAACAUAAUUGAAAAUUACAAUAUGAUAGACAUCUGGCGUACAAUAAAUCCAAACGAAAGCAAAUUCACCUGGCACUCAAACACAAAACCAACAAUAUUUUGUAGAUUAGACUAUUUUUUAAUAUCUGAGUCACUUUGCAACAUUAUUGACACAUGUUACAUAAAACCAGGAUUUAUUACUGACAACUCUAUAGUUGAACUUAAAAUACACAAAAUACAACCUGAAAGAGGUCCAGGAUACUUUUAAAUUAAUAACAGCAUAUUAUUAGAAACACAAUACCAAACGCAAAUAAAACAAGAAAUACUCAAGAAACAGCUCAAAAUAAUAAAGAUGCGAACCCACACACUUUAUGGGAAGUUAUUAAAGGAAAUAUACGUAACACAACAAUUAGAUACACAUCAUUUAAACAAGAAGAAACACGCAAACUUGAAACUGUAACCAUCAAAAUCAUUGAAACACUUGAAAAACAAUUACAUAAAACAAACACAAACGAUACCAAAGACAUUGAGAAUGAAAUAACAUUAAAAAAAAACAAGUAUUAGAAGGAAUUUAUCAUACACAACGCAAUGGAAUUAUAUUACCAGCACGCGCACAGUAUGUUGAACACAAUGACAAAAAUACAAAAUACUUCGCAAACAUCGAAAAACGUAGAAGUGAACAAAAAACUGUACACAAAUUAGUAGUUAAUGGUGAAGAUAUAACACACAGAACUCAAAUACUAGAAGAACAACGUUUAUUUUUCGAAACCCUCUAUAAACAUGUUGAAAAUAACACCCUCUUUAAAAAUACACAUCAAUCUUUAAAUCAAGAAGAAAAACAACUGUGCGACGGAUAACUUAAUGAAUAUGAAUGUGGAUUAGCACUUAAAGAAAUGCAAAAUAACAAAAGUCCAGGAUCUGAUUGCAUCUCAGUCGAAUUUUAUAAAAUAUUCUGGAACGAUAUUUAAACACAUUUAAUUAAUUCACUUUACUAUUCAUUUAACAACAAAAACCUUACUACGCUACAAAAACAAGGCAUAAUAUCACUCAUUGCAAAACCUGGAAAAAACUUAGAAUCCUUAUCAAACUUGCGCCCGAUAAGUCUACUUAACAAGUAUUAUAAAAUUACAACUAAAAGUAUAUCAAACAGAAUCAAAAAAGUAUUACCAUCAGUCAUUUCAAGACCUUAAUCUGGUUUUAUUAAAGGACGAUACGUUGGUGAAAAUGUACGUCUGAUACAAGAAUGCAUAAAUUAUUUCAACCAACCAAACAUUCUUGCCUCAUCUUCUUUGCAGACUUUGAAAAGGCUUUCGAUUCACUAGACCAUUCGUUUAUGUUCUCUUGCUUAGAAAAUAUGAAUUUCGGUGAAAGUCUUAUAAAAUGGGUAAAACUAUUUUAUACCGAUAUAAACAGUAUACUAAUUAACAAUGGCUUCUUCUCAAACAGUUUUAACAUCGUACGAGGGGUACGACAAGGAUGUCCACUCUCAUCCUCACUAUUUAUUAUAUGCAUUUAGUAUCUAUCACACUAUAUCCAAUCAAAUAAACAUAUAAAUGGAAUAUCGCUAGAACCUGACGAAGAAAUUAAACAGUCCCUAUUUGCUGACGACGCAACUUAUUUUUUUAAAUGACAGUAUUGACUCAUUCAAUAAUCUUAUAGAAUCGCUUACCCUUUUUGGAAUGGCAUCGGGUCUUAACCUUAACAAAAGUAAAUGCACUGUGCUUCGAUUAGGUAAAUUUAAACAAAGUAAUAUUCAACUUUAAAACGAAAUGAAAUUCCACUGGACAUCAGAUGAAGCAAACAACGUUAGGAACAACAUUUACAAACAAUGAAAAUGAAACAGUUCAAAAAAACAUACUGCCUUAACAACAAAAAUUUAAAAAUUGUUUAAAAUCAUGGCAAGCAUCGUAAACUUACACUAAUCGGAAAAAACACAGUGUUGAAAACGUGUGCACUCCCUAAAUUAAUUUAUACACUAACAGUUCUCCCAAACCCGUCAAAUGAUAUUAUUAAAGAUAUACAAUCAAAAAUAUUUAAUUUCAUAUGGGACGUUAAACCUGAUAAAGUUAAGCGAACUCAGUUAAUUCAAUCUGUAGAACAUUAUGGUAUCCAAUUAACGGACAUCGACUCAUUCUUGAAUGCAAUAAAAUGCAGCUGGGUUAAAAGAUAUCUAGAUAAUACCAAUACAAGUAAAUGGAAAUAAUUCUACCAGGAAAUCCUUAAAAUAUAUGGUGACUCCUUACUUGUUGAAUGUAACAUCAGCAAUUCCAUUUUGCAUGAAAUUGCAAACGAAAACAUAUUUCUAUCUAAUGUUUUAUCGGCAUGGACUAAUGUUACGCAUAAUCUAGAAACCCAAAUCACCAGUACAACUAUUUUAUGGAACAAUAAAGACAUAACUUCAAACAAUAAGACUUUUUUCUAUAAACAUUGGUUUGAAAAAAACAUUAAAUAUGUCGACCAAUUGUACGAUUACAGAAUAAAGGACUUCUAUUCUUUUGAGAAUAUAUGUUACAUAUACGGAAUACCUUCAGGCAAUUUCCUAAUGUAUUACACAUUAAUUAAAAGCAUACCCAUACAUAUUAAAUCUACAAUUAAUACAAAUAACACACCAUGUACUCAAACAUCAUUCACGGAAAACAUACUUGCAAAACAAAACAAAACAAACAAAAUAUUUUACAAACUACACAUUAAACACCCUGGGGAAAACUCCAAGAUUCAAAAUAAAUGGCAAAGCCUUCUACGAGAACAAGAAUUUAAUUGGAAACAAAUAUUGAUCAUGCCAUAUAAAACAACUAUAGAUAGCACACUGAGAAAUAUUCAAUAUAAAUAUGUCCAUAGAAUCAAAGCUACAAAUAAAUACCUUUUUAAGUGCAACCUUACCAACACAAAUUUAUGUGAUAUAUGCAGCGAACACAUUGAAACAAUAGAACACCUUUUCUGGGAGUGCAAACAUAUUCAAAUUCUAUGGCACCAAUUAACAACAUUUCUAGAGAAACAACAAUUACAAUUAAAAUUGUCUCUCUUAAAUAUCAGUUUCGGUGUGAAUACUUUUAAAAUACCAGAAAUUAAUAACACUGUGAACCACAUUAUCAUAUUAAUGAAAUAUUGUAUAUUUAGCUUCAAAUACAAAAAACAAAUACCUACUUUCAACUGUUUUAUAAACUAUUUAAAACUAAACAUCCAAAUUGAAAAAAGAAAUAGCCCUCAACAACAAUACACUUCAUAAUUAUGAAAAAAAAAUGAAAACACAUAAACUUUCAUAACCCAGUCCAGUUGUCUUCCACCUAACUCUACGCAACUCAUCUAUAGGAUUGAUUAUUACAUUUAAAAAAACAGCUAUACACCACAUGCAACCAAAGCACAAAAAACAGUAUAUCCAAGCAUAUCAUGUAUAAUAUGUGUUUGACAUUAUUACUGUUGUAUUAUACCACUUUUGUUCUUGCU